rnacentral:rRNA from 1 species
AUACGGAGGAUGCAAGCGUUAUCCGGAUUUAUUGGGUUUAAAGGGUGCGUAGGCGGGACUGUAAGUCAGGGGUGAAAUACUGCAGCUUAACUGUAGCAUUGCCUUUGAAACUGCCGUUCUUGAGUAAAGUUGAGGUAGGCGGAAUGUGGUGGGUAGCGGGGAAAUGCAUAGAUAUACCACAGAACGCCGAUUGCGAAGGCAGCUUACUAAGCUGUUACUGACGCUGAGGCACGAAAGCGUGGGGAUCAAACAGGAUUAGAUACCCUGGUAGUCCACGCUGUAAACGAUGAUUACUGGUUGUUAGCGAUAUAUAGCUAGUGACUGAGCGAAAGCAUUAAGUAAUCCACCUGGGGAGUACGUCGGCAACGAUGAAACUCAAAUGAAUUGACGGGG